UCUUGAAUAAUCAAUAAGAAACAACCAGCAGUAUCAUUAUGAGAAAAAUAUUCCAGGCGAUACAUUACAUGAGAUCAAAAAUAAAAAAUUUCCUCACGUCAAAACUGCCGCCACUCACGAAAAAAUUACAUCCCGUAAGCCAUUAUUACCGUAUGUACCCAACAAAACAAGCCAGUUCAAGUUUUAUCAAUUUUGUUCUUUUCGUGAUAAAAUUAAAAUUACUAAUCACGAAUCAUACAUAUAAUCGCAUACGCAUAUUUUAGGUUAUCCAUAAAGAUGCNNN
rnacentral:lncRNA from 1 species